GACGAACGCUGGCGGCGUGCUUAACACAUGCAAGUCGAACGGAAAGGCCCCUUUGGGGGUACUCGAGUGGCGAACGGGUGAGUAACACGUGAGUAACCUGCCCUUGACUUCGGGAUAACUUCAGGAAACUGGGGCUAAUACCGGAUAGGAAUCCUUGCUGCAUGGUGGGGGUUGGAAAGCUUCGGCGGUUUUGGAUGGACUCGCGGCUUAUCAGCUUGUUGGUGGGGUAGUGGCUUACCAAGGCUUUGACGGGUAGCCGGCCUGAGAGGGCGACCGGCCACAUUGGGACUGAGAUACGGCCCAGACUCCUACGGGAGGCAGCAGUGGGGAAUAUUGCACAAUGGGCGGAAGCCUGAUGCAGCAACACCGCGUGCGGGAGGACGGCCUUCGGGUUGUAAACCGCUUUCAGCAGGGGCGAAGCUUGUGGUGACGGUACCUGCAGAAGAAGCACCGGCUAACUACGUG
rnacentral:rRNA from 1 species